UAGCCAGGGCAUUUACCUUAUUCUGAUGACUUGCACUGAAUAGAAUCAGACAGUUUUACAUAAUCUUUGUCGACAAAACACAGCUGCCAGUGUCUAAACUGAUGUCAAUCAACACUGACAGAGCACAUGCGAUGGUUGGCCGUUCAAACGGAUUCAUUAGGGACUUUAAGCAACAGCCACUGAUGGAACGGCAACGGUGUUCUGAUGUUGUAUUGCGCAUGCGCGACUUUAACUGCUACUUCGUGACGUUCUACUGUAACCGUCUACUACGGGAGAACAGCUGAUUUGUCGUAGUCGUUACAACGUGAGAGAGUAGGUAAGUAAAUGUUAUGUUUUAUGGUAUAUGACAUUGUAAUUGCAUCAGUAUAUGAUUGUACAACUUGUCUUUUAUUUCAAUCUGUGUUGAUAUGUUUUAAACUUAAGCUAAUUUUAACUUUUUUUUCCGUUUGUACAAAGUUAUGUCUGCUGUUGGCAACAACACCUCAGGCAGCAUUGAGAUUAGAGAUGAUGUGAAGCGAACAAUUAAUCAAGAGAAGUGUUAUCAUAGCUGAAGAAAUGGCAGAUUUUAAUCCCCAGACACCGAGCAGUUCAAGCCCUGAAGAAAUAACACUAUAGACAUCAUCUUCUGACUGAACUAGCAAGGAGCUGCUGGAGCCAAUGAGAAAGCUGGCAAGUUCAAGUAAAGUUUGGCACAUUCAGUUAGACCAUGUUACCUUUAUUAAUAGAUACUUGUAUACUAUUUGCUCUUUACAGGUGGAAUGUAAACCUGAGUAAACGCCGCUACUUUAAUGAUUAUUUCUAAGUUUACUGAGCGAUGUAAACUGCUGUCAUCCACGUCACAUCGUUGCUCUAAUCAACGUUACCUGAAGAAUCCUUUCAGCGUAGCAGAUAUUCACAAGCGUCUGGAACGAACUUAUGUUGAACUGGAUGCUUACUGAAGAGUGAGCUUCAACACUUAAGGUUUGUACAAAGUUACACGAUAUCACUGAAAACAGCACACGUCAACAAGAUUUCAGAGACUCUGUGUGACAUUUUAAAUGUUUAUGAUCUUCAGGGUGUGCAUGAUGUCAACAUGAAACGCACCAUAGCCCUCCGUGCUCCUCGGUGUACCUGUGAGGAGGACCCACAAUUCUUCAAGACUUGAAAUGAGGCGUUGGGAGAGCCAGACAUCACUGAUUCUGUCAUUGUGGUCAAAGAAAGCACAAGUUGUGAUAGAAGAUGAUCUUCAGUUUUAUAAUAAAAAAAAAUAUUCAAUUGUA